rnacentral:rRNA from 1 species
AGCAGCAGCAGCUCCAGUCCACGGCCGCCUCCUCCUCCUCCCCACUACCACCGCCAUGGCCCUCCCUUAGGCUUAGGCUUAUUCUUGGACCCGCGCGCUCGUCGCCAUGGACGCCCUAGGCGCCGCGCUGCCGCGGCUCGCCCUCGCCGACGCCGACGCCGACGCCGGGCCGGACGACGCGUGCGGGAGCCCCUGCUCCGUCGCCAGCGACUGCAGCAGCGUCGCCUCUGCCGACUUCGAGGGCCUCUUCUCCCCCUCCGGCGCCGACGCGGGCCCGCCCUCGCUCCUCUCCGACGACCUGCCCGCGGCCGCCGCCGAGGCCGCCACGGUCCCCGGCGGCGCCUGCAGGAGCGUCUUCGCCCUCGACUCGCCGCCGCUCUGGGGGCUCGAGUCUGUAUGCGGCCGCCGCCCGGAGAUGGAGGACGCCGCCGCCGUCGCCCCGCGAUUCUACCGCGUCCCGCUCUGGAUGGUCGCCGGCGACGGCGCUGCGGUCGACGGCCUCGACCGCGCCUCCUUCCGCCUCCCCGCACACUUCUUCGCCGUCUACGACGGCCACGGCGGUGCCCAGGUCGCCGACUACUGCCGGGACAAGCUCCACGCCACGCUUGUUGAAGAGCUGCGCGCCGCAGAGGACCGUGUCGGCGGCUGCGACGACCUCAGCUCCCUGGACUCCAAGAAACAGUGGGAGAAGGCGUUCGUGGACUGCUUCUGCCGCGUGGACGCCGAGGUCGAGGCGCCGGACAGCGCGGGCUCGACGGCGGUGGCCGCAGUCGUCUGCUCGUCCCACAUCAUCGUCUCCAACUGCGGGGACUCGCGGGCGGUGCUGUGCCGGGGCAAGGCGCCAUUGCCACUCUCUUUAGACCAUAAGCCCAACAGGGAAGACGAGUACGCGAGGAUCGAGGCGCUGGGCGGCAAGGUCAUCCAGUGGAAUGGCUAUCGAGUUCUCGGUGUUCUUGCCAUGUCGCGCUCCAUCGGGGACAGAUACCUGAAACCGUACAUAAUCCCGGUCCCUGAGGUGACGGUCGUUGCCCGCGCGAGAGAGGAUGAGUGCCUCAUCCUCGCAAGCGAUGGCCUCUGGGACGUGUUGUCGAACGAGGAGGUGUGCGACGCCGCUCGCAAGCGAAUCCUACUGUGGCACAAGAAGAACGCUACCGCCUCCUCGUCCAUCUCCCGAGGACGAAGCGGCGGCGAUGGUGGCUCGCCGGAUCCCGCCGCUCAGGCGGCCGCCGAGUACCUAUCCAAGCUUGCCCUCCAGAAGGGGAGCAAGGACAACAUCACCGUCCUUGUGGUCGACCUCAAGGCGCAUAGGAAGUUCAGGAGCAAGACUGACAAUAACAACAGAUAGUUAUAAGCAACCUAUAGGAAGCUCAAGACCAAAACCUGAUGACAGUGACAGUGCAUGUACAAAUUAUUUUUUGUUUCAAAAGUAGUUAGAUUUGAAACAUGAAAAUCAUAUGCACAGAUUUUCUUGGAAAAAGUGCUUUUAGAAUAACAUAAUUGUGUUGAUCCUUGCACAUACACUGCAGUACAAACUAGCAGUUAAGUUAUAUUUUGAAGACCCAUGUCAAUGUUCAAAAUGUCACCUUCUCAUGUCGUCCCCUUGGUGUCCUUAUCUUUCUUCGUCUUGUCGACCUCCUCUCCUGCACCGGCAUGGAGUUGUGGUUGCCUCUAGGACAGUGGAAGGACAGUGCGAUGACAAGCACGGUGUUGAGCAACAUUAAGUUGAUCCACUACAUCAACAGAAGACAACCGUCGGACUAAUCUUCGCUGGCCGCGUGCCUCAGUACUUUGCUUUAUUUCUACACUUCUGCUAGAUGAAUGUGCACUGGGUUGUAAUAUGUUGAUACUUUUUUCUUUUACUUUGCUGUUAGAAUCUCAUGUCUUUAUUAGUUUAAAGUUGGGCACGUUUUGCGUGUUUCUUCUAAAAGAAGUAUUGGGUUUAUUAGAUUCUUUCUCUCC